rnacentral:ncRNA from 1 species
GAAGUAGGCAAGGCGGGCUUGAUUGCGAAGCAACAAUAUGGUUUGUGUUCUCGUUCUGGGUAUAUAGAGAUUUUCGGAUCUUGUUCCUCGGAUAGCAGUUACGUAACCAAUUGUGGAACUUUCUUGCUAAAAUUUUUAAGGGAUUAUCGCAAAUUAUAUUCUUUUCAAAUAAUAACGAUUAUCAGUUAACAAUCAAUUCAGAAUUGGCACUGACUUGGAGAAUCCGACUGUAUUAAAACAAAGCAUUGUGAUGGCCCAAACGGGUGUUGACACAAUGUGAUUUCUGCCCAGUGCUCUGAAUGUUAAAGUGAAGAAAUUCAAGCGCGGGUAAACGGCGGGAGUAACUAUGACUCUCUUAACAGCCGUUGCCGAGACGAGUGCGAAUGCGCGCAUUAAAACAAUUUUGUAAAU